rnacentral:tRNA from 1 species
GAACCCUUGGCACAGUGGUAGCGCGUGAGAUUCCAGUUGGUGGAGCAAUCCGCCCGAGGGAAAUCCUCAAGGUCGUCCGUUCGAUCCGGGCAGGGUUCA